CUCUCUCUCUCUCUCUCUCUCUCUCUCUCUCUCUCUCUCUCUCUCUCUCUCUCUCUCCGUCUCUCUUGUUUCUCCUUUUAUCAACCAUUCUAUUGUCUUCUCCUUUCUCAGUCGCCAAUUCUAAGUUAGGAAUUUUACUGAAGAAACCCUAAAUUGGAUUUUGUUCUCAAAAUUAAAUUAAGGAGAUUGAUGUUUAUUUAGGGUUCCGAAUCCAAAUUUAGGAUUCUGUUAAUUGCAAAAUUAUUAUUCUCAUCUACUUUCGAGGAAGUAAAAUUUAUUUUCUUUUUAGUCCAGAGAUAAUUAUUCUUUGAUGUCGUUUUAGCAUCUAAUUUGCAAUUCUUAGGUUGUUUAAUCUUAAUCAAUGUAAUAUGUCAUUUAUUCAUGAUGUUCUUUAAAUUGCGAAUUUUCAGAAAUUAUAAACAACCAACUGCAGGUAGUCUUGGACUUGGCUCUCUUUUGAAGUACAUCGUGGUGCAGUAAAUCUCUGAAAUUGAAAUUUGAAUUGUUUCUUUUGUUCAUUUUGUUUUAGUAUGUCUAUUUUCCCUUAGAUAAGUUAUUCUUAUUUAAUUGCUAAUUUUUCAUAUGUCAUUUCAGUAUGCUCGUCGAUAGCCUUGGGUGUAGAAACCGGAUUCAUGUUAAGAUGAAUUUCUCUAAGGGCUGGAGCUACGAGGCUUGUCGACAGAGGUUGUUCGGGUUUGCUUUGGAGGAUAUAUGGUAGUGGGGUUCUUUCUGUUGGAAUUCUUUUACGGUUCGUGUAGAUGAGUAUAUCCACAUGAUUUCGAGUCAUUCUUCAUCAACAGGUUAUUGACUUAGCAUUAUCUUACAAUAUCAGGUAAUUGCAUUUUUAUAUUUCUCACAUAUUUUGAAAAUCAACAUAAGUUUUUUCGUUUCCUCGAAUAGUAAUUAAGUAAAGAUACCAUGUGAUUGGUUGACAAUAAAUUCAUCUGAUUAUAUAUAUUCAUUUGAGUUUGACUAUUUAUGCUAUACUUAACAAAGUUUUUUUCCGUUUAAAAUUUGUGAGUAAUUUGUCUCUCUCCCUCUUUCCUUAUUGUCAUGAGUUUAAUAAUUGAGAGGAGUGUUUUUAUUUUCUGGUUUCUAUAUAUAACUUUCUCUUGUCAAUUUGAUUCAGCUCAAAAUGCUCUAAAUACCAGAACUCGGGGGAUCAUCCCGGCUCCCGCUAUGGGUUAUGGCAACUAAGGGAUGGUGACGUUAACAACUUGAUGGUUAGUGAUUCUAUGAUACCCGGCCUCGUUCAAUGGAUAAAUUAUUUUUCUUGAGAGUUGGUUAGUAUGUAAAUGUGUUUGUAUACUCUGUUUCGUAUAGAUUUACACGAGUCUUAAGGAUUUGCGGUACUUGCGCUUAAUGUAUUGAAUGACAGGGAAUGAUUUGUAAUAAUGGUUUGUAUAGAUCAUUUUGUUUAUACUUC